UACGUAGGGUGCGAGCGUUGUCCGGAAUUAUUGGGCGUAAAGAGCUCGUAGGCGGUUUGUCACGUCUGCUGUGAAAUCCCGAGGCUCAACCUCGGGCCUGCAGUGGGUACGGGCAGACUCGAGUCCGGUAGGGGAGUGUGGAAUUCCCGGUGUAGCGGUGAAAUGCGCAGAUAUCGGGAGGAACACCAGUAGCGAAGGCGGCACUCUGGGCCGGUACUGACGCUGAGGAGCGAAAGCGUGGGGAGCGAACAGG
rnacentral:rRNA from 1 species